rnacentral:rRNA from 1 species
GUAACCAUUUUGGAGCUAGCCGUCGAAGGUGGGACAAAUGAUUGGGGUGAAGUCGUAACAAGGUAGCCGUAUCGGAAGGUGCGGCUGGAUCACCUCCUUUCUAAGGA